AUUGAACGCUGGCGGCAGGCUUAACACAUGCAAGUCGAGCGGAGCGAGGGUGCUUGCACCUUAGCUUAGCGGCGGACGGGUGAGUAAUGCUUAGGAAUCUGCCUAUUAGUGGGGGACAACAUUCCGAAAGGGAUGCUAAUACCGCAUACGCCCUACGGGGGAAAGCAGGGGAUCUUCGGACCUUGCGCUAAUAGAUGAGCCUAAGUCGGAUUAGCUAGUUGGUGGGGUAAAGGCCUACCAAGGCGACGAUCUGUAGCGGGUCUGAGAGGAUGAUCCGCCACACUGGGACUGAGACACGGCCCAGACUCCUACGGGAGGCAGCAGUGGGGAAUAUUGGACAAUGGGGGGAACCCUGAUCCAGCCAUGCCGCGUGUGUGAAGAAGGCCUUUUGGUUGUAAAGCACUUUAAGCGAGG
rnacentral:rRNA from 1 species